rnacentral:rRNA from 1 species
CCUACGGGAGGCAGCAGUGGGGAAUAUUGGACAAUGGGGGAAACCCUGAUCCAGCGACGCCGCGUGAGUGAAGAAGUAUCUCGGUACGUAAAGCUCUAUCAGCAGGAAAGAAAAUGACGGUACCUGACUAAGAAGCCCCGGCUAAUCACGGGCCAGCAGCCGCGGGAAUACGUAGGGGGCAAGCUUUAUCCGGAUUUACUGGGUGUAAAGGGAGCGUAGACGGGGCGUCAAGUCUGGAGUGAAAUGCCGCAGCUUAACUGCGGAACUGCAGUGGACACUGGCGAACUAGAGUGCGGGCGGGGUAAGCGGAAUUCGUAGUGUAGCGGUGAAAUGCGUAGAUAUUAGGAAGAACGCCGAUGGCGAAGGCAGCUUACUGGACCGUAACUGACGUUGAGGCUCGAAAGCGUGGGGAGCAAACAGGAUUAGAUACCCGGGUAGUC